rnacentral:rRNA from 1 species
AACGAACGCUGGCGGCAUGCCUAAUACAUGCAAGUCGAACGAGAUCUUCGGAUCUAGUGGCGCACGGGUGCGUAACGCGUGGGAAUCUGCCCUUGGGUUCGGAAUAACUUCUGGAAACGGAAGCUAAUACCGGAUGAUGACGUAAGUCCAAAGAUUUAUCGCCCAAGGAUGAGCCCGCGUAGGAUUAGCUAGUUGGUGGGGUAAAGGCCCACCAAGGCGACGAUCCUUAGCUGGUCUGAGAGGAUGAUCAGCCACACUGGGACUGAGACACGGCCCAGACUACUACGGGAGGCAGCAGUAGGGAAUAUUGGACAAUGGGCGAAAGCCUGAUCCAGCAAUGCCGCGUGAGUGAUGAAGGCCUUAGGGUUGUAAAGCUCUUUUACCCGGGAUGAUAAUGACAGUACCGGGAGAAUAAGCUCCGGCUAACUCCGUGCCAGCCGCCGCUGUAAAAC